CAAGACAUAGUUUAGGCAGAAUGCUGGCUUUGGGGGUCAGAGGUGGAGGUUUGAGUCCUCUUGUCUUGA
rnacentral:tRNA from 1 species